AGACCCGAAACCCGGUGAUCUAGCCAUGGGCAGGUUGAAGGUUGGGUAACACUAACUGGAGGACCGAACCGACUAAUGUUGAAAAAUUAGCGGAUGACCUGUGGCUGGGGGUGAAAGGCCAAUCAAACCGGGAGAUAGCUGGUUCUCCCCGAAAGCUAUUUAGGUAGCGCCUCGUGAAUUCAUCUCCGGGGGUAGAGCACUGUUUCGGCUAGGGGGCCAUCCCGGCUUACCAACCCGAUGCAAACUGCGAAUACCGGAGAAUGUUAUCACGGGAGACACACGGCGGGUGCUAACGUCCGUCGUGAAGAGGGAAACAACCCAGACCGCCAGCUAAGGUCCCAAAGUCAUGGUUAAGUGGGAAACGAUGUGGGAAGGCCCAGACAGCCAGGAUGUUGGCUUAGAAGCAGCCAUCAUUUAAAGAAAGCGUAAUAGCUCACUGGUCGAGUCGGCCUGCGCGGAAGAUGUAACGGGGCUAAACCAUGCACCGAAGCUGCGGCAGCGACACUCAGGUGUUGUUGGGUAGGGGAGCGUUCUGUAAGUCUGCGAAGGUGGCCUGUGAGGGUUGCUGGAGGUAUCAGAAGUGCGAAUGCUGACAUAAGUAACGAUAAAGC
rnacentral:rRNA from 1 species